CGGCACGCAAAUUAUACCAAAAUGAUUGCAGUUCCUAAAUCAUUUGAUGGCCAAUUGCGUGCCAAAAGCAAAAAUCAAAAAGCCCAGUUAAAACAGCGGCCAGCUGCUCUUUCAAUGCGCGAGUCUCUACCUGUAGCUGGGCAUA
rnacentral:snoRNA from 1 species